rnacentral:lncRNA from 1 species
GUGUACUUCGAAGGAGACAGUGAACUUUUGAUUAAAAUGUUACAAAGACAACACCAUAAUAUUACUAUUGAAGCUGUUUUCCAUGAUAUUAUUGCUUGAUCCAAAAAAUUUACUUCUAUUUCCUUUCUUUUUUGUAAAAGAGAUUGUAAUAAAGUCGCUCAUCUUCUGGCCUCUCAUGGUUCUAAUUUUUUUAUUUUUUAUUCUGAUUUCUUGUAUCCGCCUUCAUGGCUAAGAAACCAAUUGUAUUAUGAUUUUUACAAUUAUUCAAUAUAAUUUUAUUGACGAAAAAAAAAAAAAAAAAAAUCUAUCCAUUUUCAAAAAUACCACUGUUUAAAUAUAAAAAACUGUAAAGUUUUAUAUAGUUUAUUAUGUAUUCUAUAUAGUAACUAGUACUGGAGAUUCG